AAAGGGAAGUAUAUUUAAAUCAUUAGCAGGAACUCCUGACCCUUCAAGUCGAGCUCAGGGUAAAACAGUCUACAUUCUGGGACGGAACGGCAGCAGGUUUGUCACCGUGCGGGGACACCCAGACGGUGUCCAGUCUGGGGACACCUCUUAGCAGUUUUACCCCCUCAGCCCUGCGAGACAGAGAAAGGCUUCACCUCGACCCUGAAGGUUUUGAGGGAGCAGGGGCCCCCUUCACACUCGGACUGGGCUCAGGUUUUCACCCCUUUGAGGAAAGUCUCAGGACCGGCCCCACAAUCACAUGAUGUCAUGGAUAAGGGACUUUGUUUGACCGUGUCCAGAGUAAACAGUUAGCAGUCUGCAUGGGACAACAGCCAUUUUGCUUUUUUGCAUUUCUUUUCCAUGGGGAUGGUCUUG
rnacentral:lncRNA from 1 species